GAUGAACGCUAGCGGCAGGCCUAAUACAUGCAAGUCGGACGGGAUUUGGGAGCUUGCUCCCAAUGAGAGUGGCGCACGGGUGCGUAACACGUAUGUAACCUACCUUGUUCAGGGGGAUAGCCUCUCGAAAGAGAGAUUAACACCGCAUAAUAUAUCGAUGUGGCAUCACGAUGAUAUCAAAUAUUUAUAGGAACAAGAUGGGCAUGCGGAACAUUGGCUAGUUGGUAAGGUAAUGGCUUACCAAGGCUACGAUGUUUAGGGGAUCUGAGAGGAUGACCCCCCACACUGGUACUGAGACACGGACAGACUCCUACGGGAGGCAGCAGUAAGGAAUAUUGGUCAAUGGGCGGAAGCCUGAACCAGCCAUGCCGCGUGCAGGAAGACGGCCCUACGGGUUGUAAACUGCUUUUGUACCGGAAUAAACCUCUUUACGUGUAAAGAGCUGAAUGUACGGUAAGAAUAAGGAUCGGCUAACUCCGUGCCAGCAGCCGCCGUAAAAC
rnacentral:rRNA from 1 species